AUAGAUUUGCAUUUUGGUUGGGAAAUGACUGCACGAGGCUAGUUUGGACAGCUCCGCUUCCCCCUGGGUGGGGCAGCAAGCCCCAAUAAAAAGGUCCUCUGCUGCACGACAGCUGUCCUCUUGCUACUCGAGUUCCGAUUGACUUUGGAGAACCUGAUAUUAAGACUCCAGAAAGAUGUCUUCUCAACAUCAGCAGUGCAAGCAGCCCUGCCAGCCACCACCAGUGUGCCUACCUAAGUGCCCUGACCCUUGCCCCCCUGCCAAGUGUCCAGACCCUUGCCCACCUAUAAAGUGCCCUGACCCAUGCCCACCUAUAAAGUGCCCUGACCCUUGCCUGCCUCAGCAGUGCAAGCAGAAAUGCCCUCCUGGGCCACCUGCCCAUCAUUGCUAGCAGAGGUGCCCACCCAAGAGCAUGUAAGAGCUUGAGCUUUUAUCUGCAUCUGGAAAGGAUAAGGACAAUUGGCUCAACUAGUUCCAGAGCUCCACCUUCACCUUCUCUUCAACGCCUAUCAUGGAUACGGAAGAAGCUUCUCCACCCUUCAGCCUCAAUAUGCAUGUGGUGAUUCCUGACAGACAGAGGCUUUCUAUCUGAGGCUGCUAUACUGCUUCCCUCUGGGUGGUGCCCGAGAAAGCAUCACAGAGCCUCAGUAGGAAGAGCAGCAGCUCUCCUCCUGGGCGCCCUCUGAGGAUUCUCUCCCUGUCUUCUCUGUCAGUCGCUCACCUGGGCAUGGGUUUCUACCAGCUGAGCAAUUGUUACUUAUCCUCCACUUCCUGAAUAAAAUACAAUUCUUUUGUGUGAA